UAGAGAAUGUGAAACACUUUAUUGAAAGAAGUUCAUUAUCCAAGUGUUAUAAAUACAUGCAUUAUAAUUGUAAUAUUAUAAAUACAAGUUCAAUCUGUACUUGAGUGCACAUCUGUUGUGCAUUAUAAAAACAGAGGAAGGAAGAGCAAGUGGUGGGAGAGGUGUAAAAGACAAAGAGAAAGAGGUAAAACAUAGGAGCAGGGAAGGCAGCAUAUGAUUAAUGAAUCACAGUGCUACCCAAAUAUUCUCUCAGUUCAUCACAAUUGCAUUAUAGUGUCUCUCGUCGGCCCAAAGGUUAUCUUAAAAGCAGGUGAGGUGGGGAUGAUGGGACUGGGGGAUGCCAUCCUCUCUCACAUCAAACAUAUCUGCAGACGAGAGACAGAUGGAGAGAGAGCGAGCAUGUUUAAGCCUUGUGUUUUUAUUCUAACGUUGUUAGUCAUCAAUAAUCAGGAGGUGAAAUGCAGAGCUGACCUAGGAUCAUUAACUCUGGGACUACUGCAUCUCUAUUUCAAUGUAAAGCAUCUGUUUAAUAAUACUUCCUGUUGACCUGACCAUGUGACCUCUCACCUCUGAUCAUGCUGUGCCCUCUAUGUAGCCAGUUCAGAUGAGGGAGGGGUUCACCAACACAGCUGAUAUAACCAUGAGGAUUUAGGGAGAAGAGGAGAGGGAUGAAGUGAAGGAGAGAGACUGUUAUUGAGAAAAUAAGGUAGUUAAAGAGACAGUGUUCAACAGGAAUCUGUGUGUGGCCUCACCUGGUGGACACACUAAGUGGCUGCAGAGUACUUUAUGCUGAAAAACAUGAACGGACACACGAGGACAAACAAUAUAGCGUAGUUGUAGAAAUAAUGAAGUGUCUUACUAUUCUCCAUGGUUGGCCCUCUUGCCUAUUCAUCAAAGGUGGAAGGAGCCACAGUUAUACACCUGAGCCUGCUUAGUGCACAACACAAUCCAUCAAUUAGAUUGAUACAUGAUUGUGUAGGUGUGGGAUAUAGGGUGUCUAAUUGUUCUAAAUUUUGUUUUUGUACAGACCCCACUCCUACCUAAACAGCACCCUCACCUGCGAAGUAGAAAUCAAAGGGAGAGAAACUGUGAAUUGAAUAACUGCAGUUGACAUAGUUAAGUAAAUGGAAGAAUACUCUUAUUGCAAUGUAAAUGGCUCUUAAAAGAGCCUUUGGUUGUGCAUAGUGUAGUCUAUGGUGUUGCCAAUGGAACAGCACCCUCUUCAAAGAAGUAGGAGGUGAAGAUCUCCCGCACACGGAUUGCCUCUCUUGCUGUGUUGUUGGACCGCAUUCUUGAAACAUCCUGCAGAGCAGCAGACUUCUCCUCUGGCACACUGCGGCGAGCUGCAGAUCCCCCCUUGUCCUCGUGUCCAUCCUCAUGAAGUUAUGCAGGACACAGGUAGCCUUCACACACCUGAAUUCCUCCAGGAGGCAGUCCCAGAUGGCCCUGGUCACACAACCUUGCAGUGCCCUACACGUUAACUGUAGGCAAUCGUUUUGAAGGAAUCUCCAGUUACAAGAGACUCCUGAAACAACCAGCAAACCAGGCUGUCGUCUUGUGAAACAGUGGACGUAAAGAAUCUAGCUAGCUAAAGCAUUUACUGCAAAUUGAAUGUGCAGCUUGCCUUGCUGAUAUUUGCCAUGCAAUGCAGAGAGAUGAAAUAUGUUCUUGCUUAUUGUGCAGUGGAGGAUAAAAAUACCUGUAUGCCUAUGGAUGUGUAGCUAGCUAUCUAGCCGAUCUGUGUAUGGAGCCAAACGUUUGGUAUACAUAUUAGUUCAGAACCUAGAUAUGAACCUCAGCUAUCAUAGCCAGUUGUAUCAACUUCAAAACAGUCUGACUGGCAUCAAUGAAGCCUAUGGAUUGAGUAGAAUAUAAUAUAACGUUGUGGCAAGGAUGCAAGUCAUAUAUACAUGUAGUUAUUACAUGCAUGAGAUCCCCACAUUGUAGUCUGUACAUUUAAUAUAUUCACUGAUCAUGUACUCUACCUUGGCAAAUAAAGGUGUAGUUCAGGUAUGAAUGUCUUUGAGAUUAUUUUUCAGUCAUAUCCAAUACCAUGAGUAUCAAAUUCCAGAUUCUGGAAUUGAAUGAUGCUGUGUCUGCAUGUAUGUAUUACAAUUAUACACUUCAACAGUGUUUACCAAUCCUGGUCCUGGGACAUCAAUGGUUACACAUUGUAACUAAUAGAC
rnacentral:lncRNA from 1 species